AUUGAACGCUGGCGGCAUGCUUUACACAUGCAAGUCGAACGGCAGCGGGGAGGAGCUUGCUUCUCUGCCGGCGAGUGGCGAACGGGUGAGUAAUACAUCGGAACGUGUCGAGAAGAGGGGGAUAACCACCCGAAAGGGUGGCUAAUACCGCAUAAAUUCUGAGGAAGAAAGCUGGGGACCUAGGAAUAGGCCUAGCGCUUUUUGAGCGGCCGAUGUCGGAUUAGCUAGUUGGUGAGGUAAAGGCUCGCCAAGGCGAAGAUCUGUAGCGGGUCUGAGAGGAUGAUCCGCCACACUGGGACUGAGACACGGCCCAGACUCCUACGGGAGGCAGCAGUGGGGAAUUUUGGACAAUGGGGGCAACCCUGAUCCAGCCAUGCCGCGUGUAUGAAGAAGGCCUUAGGGUUGUAAAGUACUUUUGUUAGGGAAGAAAAGUCAGCUGUGAAUAAUGGCUGAUACUGACGGUACCUAAAGAAUAAGCACCGGCUAACUACGUG
rnacentral:rRNA from 1 species